CAAGACCAAGGAAGGCGUGGUGGAGAUCAGCGGCAAGCACGAAGAGAGGCAGGAUGAGCACGGCUACAUUUCCCGCUGCUUCACUCGGAAAUACACGCUUCCCCCUGGUGUGGACCCCACCCUGGUGUCUUCUUCCCUGUCCCCUGAGGGCACGCUCACCGUUGAGGCCCCGAUGCCCAAGCCAGCCAGCCAGU